UUGAAUGAUCAGCUCCUUUGACAUUCUGUAGAUCAGAUUCGCGACGUUUUCUAUACAAAUGCAUUUGAUGUUACGGUGAAACGACAUUAGUAGCCGCUAACGGUAGCUACUGGAGCGCAGCUAAUAAGUUGACAAAAAGAUAUUCGCGUAUGGGAUGCAGCUGACUUCAUCCAUCUUUUUUAGUAUUUGAAGUCGUCAGAUACCUAAAGGGGCAUCUGGCAGCGAGGGUCCAUAAGGGACUACUACCCCAGCAGUCCGUCAGACUUUGCAAAAGACGAAGUGUUUUCCGAAUAGUUUUAUGAAAUAGCUGUUUUUAUUUACCUUAAACCGUCAUAUUUCCUGUGAAAGUAUACCAGACCGUUUCGUUGCUUUUAGUACAACAUCGUCUUGACUGUGAGACCUAUAAUUUCGUGUGUUCGGCUUUCCGACCCGGCAACCUUGGCCGAAAAUAAUUUGAAGUCCAAAUGAACAAGGUAAAAAGGGUUUGACAGCAUGGCCACUCGGGAAGCGACGCCUUUGGAUCGAGCCUUGAUCCUUAAAUGGCGCAGAUACUACCGCCGGAAAGCCGAAGCAUCUCAGCGAGAGAAAGCAUAUAAACGUGCACGUCAGCCAAAAUCCUGGUCGAUGAUGAAGCGAAUGGUGAUAGCAUUUGUAAUUUGUUGUACUGUGCUCGCGAUUUCGACCGUCGCUAUCGUGCAGGCUCGCCAAAGACUCAUAGAAGGACUGAAGAUAGAUCCUAUGGGUGCAAUCGACCCGUUUUAACUUAUGAGCUUCCUUUACGUACCCCGCUUCGGCUACCCAAAUCGGCCUGUUCUGUCGUCCUGCUAUUCAGGCUACAAGGGCUUGAAUGAAAGCGAAGCAUGACAAAUAUAAGACGUGGGAUACGAUCGCCAAACGUGUCGUUCUACUAACGUUGUCCAAAGCUGUAGCUGGAAAAGUAUCAAUCAAAGCAGCUGCGAAAUCCAAAGCUGGAUGUUUUCCUACGCAUGCAGCAGUAGAGAAUUGGAAACGGCUUCGAAGCUAACACGAGUAAUUAAUAACACUCGACGAGACCUGUGUGUUUCGAAGGUGAGUUCCGGUAUUUUUCGAAAUAGAUGUGUGCAGAAAGACAGAGAAAUUAAUACUUUUCAAAUAGCUUCCUUGAGCAGGAACACCUUUGCAUAAUGCUACAAUUAGAGUACUAGCUGAGAUAGGCCAUGUCGUGGCGGAACUGUUCUACGGUUUCUCUGUGUGGGUCUCACGUUUGUUGCAGCGAGUCAUACAGGAUCACGAUCCUAAUAUGCACCUAUACGUUGUAGGUCUGCGAAGAAUACAAAAAGCUUAACGUCGCUGGAAAAGAUACAUUACUGAUGAUAAUAAGGUACAAUACAAAAUAUCAAAUGGUUUAACCUUCGAUUUAUGAUCUACUCAUUUGGGCGUAAAUACCAUUGCACAGUGAAGGAGAGCCUCUGCUUGACUAGUAUAAUGAACCAUUAUUUGUGCAACUGGUACAAAAUAACGAAUUAAAGAUGGUAAAUUUUACCAUCCCGAAUCUUAGUUACAAUUCUGAACUAGGAGCAUUAAAGUGCCAUGACUUUAACGAGCGUACAUCUAUUACUACCUACCCAUAGAGAUUUUGCUACUAGUUAACCAAAUAAGCCAAAUGGCGUUGUCAGGGAAAUUAAGAUCUUCAUAUCAUCAGCACGAAUCUGUGUAAGCCUAUUGCGAAAUUUUACUUCGUGCAACUCACAUUGUUAAUUUAUUUUUUUCACCGCCAACUGUCGAAACUCUUACUGUGACUCAAAUUGAACUUCUAUAUGCGGUUUACAACAAGUAACCGCAGAAUUCAGAUAAAUAGAGUUACUUAUGAUCAUGUUUGAUCCAAAGAAUGAUUAGGGUCUAAAACCACGCUAGAAGCCAAUUGACGACCGUCUUACAAGUGAUCUUAAAGCUCGUCGUAGUUAGUUAAGAAGAACAAGAGAGGAUCGCGCCUUAUGCCUGCCGAAAAUGACCGAGAGUUACACCAGAAGUUUACCUGUGAACUUACAUCUCCUGACGUUCUUUGUCUAACGUCGA